rnacentral:rRNA from 1 species
UACAGAGGGGGCAAGCGUUAUUCGGAAUUAUUGGGCGUAAAGGGCGCGUAGGCGGCUUUUCAAGUGACGGGUGAAAUCCCUCAGCUUAACCGAGGAACUGCCUGUCAGACUGGAAGGCUUGAGACCGGGAGAGGUGAGUGGAACUGCGAGUGUAGAGGUGAAAUUCGUAGAUAUUCGCAAGAACACCAGUGGCGAAGGCGGCUCACUGGAUCGGUACUGACGCUGAGGUGCGAAAGCGUGGGGAGCAAACAGG